GAAAUGUGAAACACGAAUCUCUUCUUCACUCGAUCUGUGUGAUUCUAGAAUGUGAUUCUGGAAAGAUUCUGGUUAUACUCAGGCUGAUUUUUCUAAAACAUGCAAGCCAACUAUUUCAUCAGACUCAGCUGAAGAAACAGCUCUUGCAGUGCUCAAGGGAAAACUAGUAGGAGUAGUGUGAGCUGAACCCGAUUUGUUGCAGUCUAGGGGGUUAGGGAAGAUUCUUCUGGGAGGCAUUGGUCAGAAGAGGUAUGUGGGAGAAAACCACCUGCCCUUUACUGCUGUUUUUAAAGGAAUGCUGCCCAAAUGCUAUGCCGCCAAUUUAAAAGGGAAUGAAAAAAUUAUAGGAAACCCUCUGAAAGAAUGGUGACUCUGGCUUAAACAAUAGCCUAAAUUGUUUAAAUGGAGCUAUUCUAACAGAAUUAAGAACUGAUGGAUUAGAUUCAUUUGUAGGAGCCAACCAGAGCCCUUUCAAAUUAUUUUAAACCAAUUAAGCAGAGCAACACGGUUUAAAAAUAAUGUGCCAGUGACUUGGCUUAUGGUAUCUGCAUGUGCUAUCUGAACAGAAUAAAUCAGAUGAAGCUAGUGUUGUUCAUUUGUAACCUAACAAAGUUUCUUAUGGCUGUCUUACCAUUUCCUCAGCUCUGCUUUACUCUUUGAGAUCACAAUAGUCAAUGAUGUUGAGAAGUUGAGAACAUCAAAAAAAACGUGAAGUAAUAAGCAUAAAAAAUUAGGUGUGAAACUAUGCAGCAGAAUGCAUUCAAGUAAGGUUCUCCCUGAGAAGCACAACACCAAUUAUGUGUUAAAUACUAUGGGGCCUGCCCAGUGGAGCAGCGGUUAAAGUUCGCUUUCUGCUUCAGCAACCCUGGGUUCACCAGUUUGAAACCUGGCUGUGGACCUGUGCACCGCUUGGCAAGCCAUACUGUGGCAGGCAUCCCGCAUGUAAAGUAGACGAAGCUUACAAUCUGACUACUGGAGGCAGAGAUUAGUAAAUACAAUUUGCAUACCGUGGGCAUGCUGUAUAACCUGGGAAGCCAUAAAAUGGAAGACACAGGGACUCUCAACGUAUGGAGGAAAUCUGCCUGACAACCAAGAACACCCACCCUUAAGAGCAAG
rnacentral:lncRNA from 1 species